GAUGGUAUAAUAUUAGCUAGAGAAUUCCUGGCUUACGAAAUUCUCAAUAAAUAUCAAAUGAGUGCGAUACAGAUGCAAAUCAGUGCUAAAUGUAGACAGCGAGGAAAACCUUUCUUCAUCUCUGGAAAUAUUUUAGAUGAAAGCU